rnacentral:lncRNA from 10 species
CUGGGCGGGAAGGCUAACCUGGUGCGGAGCCAGCCUGGGUCUCAGCCCCGCGUACGGCCUUUCACGAGUCUUCAAGCCUUCAGGCUUUCUUCUAGUCAAGAUGAGUGAUAAACCAGACUUGUCGGAAGUGGAGAAGUUUGACAGGUCAAAACUGAAGAAAACUAAUACUGAAGAAAAAAAUACUCUUCCCUCAAAGGAAAUCUUUUUCAGCUUAGUGGGAGUUAACAUCCAAGACUGAAGUUGGAUGGAGAAAGGGGCAGGAGGCACUUGCUACCAAACACCAUAUUAAGCACAUCACAUCUUCUAAUGACCUGUAGCACUGAACUUCUGGUACGGUUUUUCUACUGAACAGAAUUUGCUGUUUUAUGAACUAAACAUUUCUGGUGUUCAUGGUGAGCAUAAAUGUUAUGGUCUGAAUUUUGUCACCUGUGACCUCCUGAUUAAUAUGCUGAAGCCCUAAUCCCUAGCAUGAUUGUAUCUGGAGAUAGGUUGUUUCAGAAGUAAUUUACGUUAUGAAGUGAUAACAGUCAGGGCCUAAUCUAAUAGGACUGUGGCCUUAUAAGGAGAGAGAGACCAGUCUCUAACAUGCG